rnacentral:rRNA from 1 species
GAUGAACGCUGGCGCGCUUGCCUAACACAUGCAAGUCGAACGGACAUUUUUUGGAAAGCUCUUCGGAACUGGAAUCUAAAUGUUAGUGGCGGACGGGUGAGUAACGCGUGAGCAAUCUGCCUUUCAGAGGGGGAUAACAGCCGGAAACGGCUGCUAAUACCGCAUAAUGCAUCGGAUUCGCAUGUUUCUGAUGCCAAAGAUUUUAUCGCUGAAAGAUGAGCUCGCGUCUGAUUAGCUAGUUGGCGGGGUAACGGCCCACCAAGGCGACGAUCAGUAGCCGGACUGAGAGGUUGAACGGCCACAUUGGGACUGAGACACGGCCCAGACUCCUACGGGAGGCAGCAGUGGGGAAUAUUGCGCAAUGGGGGCAACCCUGACGCAGCAACGCCGCGUGAUUGAUGAAGGUCUUCGGAUUGUAAAAAUCUUUAAUCAGGGACGAAGAAAAUGACGGUACCUGAAGAAUAAGCUCCGGCUAACUACGUGCCAGCAGCCGCGGUAAUACGUAGGGAGCAAGCGUUAUCCGGAUUUACUGGGUGUAAAGGGCGUGUAGGCGGGCUUGCAAGUUGGAAGUGAAAUCUCGGGGCUUAACCCCGAAACUGCUUUCAAAACUGCGAGUCUUGAGUGAUGGAGAGGCAGGCGGAAUUCCCAGUGUAGCGGUGAAAUGCGUAGAUAUUGGGAGGAACACCAGUGGCGAAGGCGGCCUGCUGGACAUUAACUGACGCUGAGGCGCGAAAGCGUGGGGAGCAAACAGG